CUCCCCCCGGCGCCCGAGCCGGUGGCCGCUCGGCCCUGCGGACCGCGGGGGCCGCUGGGAAAGCGAGUCCUCCGCCUGCGCCAGGCGUGGCCGCCAUGGUGACGGUGACUGUGGGCAUACUGAGUCUUUUCCGGGGCCUCGCUGCCGCUUGCGUCUGUUCUCACGCCACAUUCACUUUCUCCUCGCUACGUCCAGCCCGUUUUUAAUGCCUGAGGGAGGGGGCGUGGAAAGAGCGGAAAUAAGGAGACAUUUCCACGGGAACUUUACAUGAGCAUCUGACCAACAUCAUGGAAUCCACAAUCUCGGUAUUCCCAUCCAGAACCUGCUUCCACGCUGUGUGAGAGCCAUGGCUUACGUUAGUCAACAGCUGGAUGACCCACCUAGGCCAAGCUGGGUACUAUGACAAUGCUUUCUGUUUCUCAGUGAAUGGUUAAAUUAAUCUUUUUAAAAUGCCUUUCAAGUUGUGAAUGAAAUGCAAAAGUUGUCAGGAUCAAAAUGGAGUCGCAUAAGGGGAAGCUGACCCAGCAGGGAAAAGCGCUUGCCACCAAGCCUGGCAACCUGAGUUCAGCCCCUGGGACUCAUACAGCGAAAGGAGGGGACUGAAGUUUGUCCCCUGACCUCCACAUGGGUGCCCUGGAUUGUACACAGAUAAAUAAAAUGGGGUCUCAUGUCAACCCUACAAAAAGCAAAAUGAACAAAACCAGGUCGUGAAGGAAGGAUUCAAUACCCAUGGAUUGUCUAGUAAUUGUCACAAAGUAUUCUGACAUAUUCCAAGAUUUGCACAAAGGAAUAUGCAGCCUUCUGGAAAAAUAAUAAUACAGCCCCACUGUGGCCAAGAAAAAUGGUUUCACAAAACUAAUGUAACCCUCUCUAUUUGUACCUUUAAAACCUUUCUUCUAGCCGGGUGGUGGUGGUGCACACCUUUAAUCCCAGCAAUUGGGAGGCAGAGGCAGGUGGAUCUCUGUGAAUUUAAGGCCAGCCUGGUCUAUAGAUUGAGUUCCAGGACAGCCAAGGCUACAAAGAGAAACCCUGUCUCAAAAACAAAAAGCAAGCAAGCAAACAAACAAACAAAAAAAAAACCUUCCUUUUGCCUGAAUUUUUUUUAUGCAUGCUGGGGUUUACAUGACUGUUACCUGUGUGUCUAUCGCCAAAAUAGUACUCUUUGAAAAAUCUCUCACUUUGGUUUUAAUUUGGCUUGACAAAAUUGUUGUUACCCUUGUGCUGAGGGAUUAUUAAUGACUUUUUAUGUCCUUAUCCAUUUCAUUAUUUUAUAAUAUUCAACAGCAAAUGACAGAAGAAGGUUCAGGACUUUCCAUCACCUACUUAACAUGACCAAUGGCUGGCUGGCUGCAGUCUCUCCCUAUCUCUCUCCUCCACAUACCUCCCCCUGCCCCAGCUUCAAUAAAUGUUCUGUUGUGAUUGGCCUAACAUGUGCUCAGAGACAUCUCUUCCUGGAACUGCUCCGGAGACUGCCAGGAAUGAUCAAAAAACAUCCUUUAUCCAAAGAGCACACACAGUCUUGCUUUUAAAGUUAAAUAAUAAUAAAGGUACCAGGUUUCUUUGUAAUA